rnacentral:pre_miRNA from 1 species
UAAAAGGUGGAAAUAGUAGCUACUGGGGACUGCUUGGGCUGCAGUACCCAACUAGUACUGAAAAACUUGGGUACUGUAGCCUGAGUAGUACCUAUAGGGCUGAAAAACUACCUUUUG